ACCUUGGUAGCUCAAUGGUAGAGCCGUGAACAUUAGUUCGCUUGUUGUGGGUUCGAAUCCCACCCAAAAAA
rnacentral:tRNA from 1 species